rnacentral:rRNA from 1 species
GAGUUCAAGAGUACGUGAAACUGCUUAGAGGUUAAGCCCGAUGAACCUGAAUAUCCGUUAUGGAAAAUUCAUCAAUAAAUCUGUAAUAUUUUAAAAAUAUUAUUUGAAAUAUUGUGCAAUUUUUCCAUAUAAGGACAUUGUAAUCUGUUAAUUAAAUAAAAAUUUAUCAUAAGAUCCAUUACUUAAGUUUAUUUGAAUUAGUUGUUUUCGGAUUUCUAACAUAAAAUAAAUGUUUUGGAUUUGAUAAAUAAUUGACAGAUAUAUUUCUAUAUAGUGCUAAAAUUUUAUUUAUAAAAUUUUACAAUAAUAAUUUAAUCUAUUGAUUUUAUUAUAUUGUAUGCGCUUAUAUGAUUAACAAUGCGAUAGAUUCAGGAUACCUUCGGGACCCGUCUUGAAACACGGACCAAGGAGUCUAACAUAUGUGCAAGUCAUUGGGAAUUUUAAAUAAAACCCAAUGGCGAAAUUAACUUAACUGUUUAUGGAAUUAGUUUAUAUUUUAUUAUGAAAUAUAAAUUCAAUUCCGGGGCGUUCUAUAUAGUUAUGUAUAAUAGUAUUUAUAUUAUUUAUACCUCUAACUAGAGC